UUUUUUUUUUUUUUUUUACUUUGUCAUUCAUUCAUGAUGGAGUUACACCUCCCAGCUGCAGCUAUUUUAAUAAUGCUAAGAGUUAGGUAUAUAAUUUUUUUGUGUGACUCAGAUCCUAUCAGAAAGCUAAAAUGCAGUACAAAAUGUAAUCAGAUCUGUUCAUAAUGACAGUGAAUUUAAACAAUAUUUUUAAAAAUUAUGUUGUUUCAUAUUCUUUGGUAGUAAAAGGACAAUUAUAGAAUUAUUUUUUAUUUGAGAAAAAAAAAUAAAGCAAAUAUCCUAAUAAACAAUAAUCUGCAUCAAUAUUAUUUGUUCUAACGAGUUAGAAUUUAAGAGUUUAUUCAAGAAAAAAAGAAAAAAGUUGAAAUGAAAAAGCUCACAGUGGGUUUGUAAGGGCUGGAAUGAAAUUGCUAUUUCUAGGAGUUUCCAUGGAAACUACAGUACUAAGCAAACCUAUGUACAAAAAGAAGAGAUUUUUUUGUUGCAGUUGCUAAGUGUUCUUUAGAAAAUCCACAUAAGCAUCAUUAUAAUAUGGAGCCAAACCAACAGGCUAAUGUAUAGCAUACAACUGUAGUGUUUACUUGCUGAAUACUUUAGAAAUGAAAGUUCAGGCAUCUGUGUGACCUUAAGACUUGGAUCUGUACAAUUUUUAGAUUUAGCUUUGCAUUGUUUAAAGUGGAUCAACAUGGUUAACGAACAAAAUUACUCAGAGUAAACUCAACAUGUUGCCAGAUUUUUACACUCAAUGCAUACUUAAUAAUCCUAGGAAAGUUUCUUAAUUGGUUUUGAUAUGAUCAGUUUGCUCUCAGUGUUAUUGAAAAUACCCUUCGAUCUUCUAAGGGUUUUCUUAUAUCUGAGUAUAGGAAUUAACAACUUCUAUGGACAGUUUUAUUAUCUGAGAAGAGACAAAAGUCUUUUCAUAGUAAAGGUGAAAAGUAGGGCAGGUUUUGAAAUGAAACCAGAAAGUUUUUUAAUAAAGAAAUAGAUGCUGAGAUUGCAAAUUCUUUAUGGUCACAAACCAGUUUUGAACCUUUUUCUAUUCUGCAUCACCAAAUUAGUUUACUUGGUUUUUGAAAAUUCAGAUUAUUCCACAGUCAAACCCUAAAAAUGAGUGCUUAACAUCAGCAAGGAGCAUUUGAGCCUAUAAGAUGAUUUAUGUGAACAAGAUCCAAAACAAAACAGAGAAAACUGAACAAUAUAACUUUAUGAUAGUUUAAAAAUUUAAUAGCUAGAUUUUUAGGAAAAUAAAAUAUUAUAAAUUUUACAUUAAUUCUCUUAUGAAAUAAGAAACUGAAAUUUAUGUCCAUCUGUUGUCCACCAUUUUGAAUGUUAAGUGCUAUUUAGAAAUUACUUCAUUUCAUUGGAAUAAUGACAGAAAUGUCUGUGAGCAUGAAAUAGCACCACAAUGUGUUGUGAUUAUUGAUAUGAUAUUUGAAACAUAUUGAUUACAAGAUAUUUUUUUCCUAAAGAAAUUAGAUACGGUAGUGAAGCUUUAAAUAUUUAAUUAAAAGUCAUGUAUUAAUAAAAAAUGAUUCAAUAAGUCACCAAAUGCAAAAUUCUGCAAUGAUGUCUCUAUAAAUUAUUUAGCAACUCCAAGAGUGUUGGCUUUAAUAAAUUAAAUUCAAGGACAUCUGGUCAACAUACUUACAAAAACUAAAAAUGCAAUUUUCUUUAUCACAUCUUAAACAAAGACAUUGUUUUUUUCCUAGGAGAUGAAAUUAGUUGUAUGAAGAGGAAAAUAUGAAAAACAAACAAUUUAAAUAUAUAGGCUAAUGUCUAUUCUUUUAAAUAUUAAAAAACUGCUUACUUAGCCAAAAGCAAUAACCACUAACAUUAUUUCUGUCUUUCUGAAGUUAUCUAGACAUCUCCUUUUUUUUCUUUCCUGUCAACAGUCUUACUCAAAAAGUGCUUAACUCUACAAGACCUUGGGAUUUGCACUUCUGAAUCUUGAUUCCAUUUUCCACAUAGAACAUGUUGGACUUUUGACAUACAAAUUCCUUUUAAAUUAAUUUCUAUGAAUUGUCUGCUUUCAAAAUGUCUAUAAACAUACUCACCACAGUACCCUAAGUGGCUGUAUGUAUUAGUUACUUCUAUUUUACUAGUGACUAGUUAAGCCAAAGAAUAAAUGUUUGCACAUAUUUAAGAAAGGAAAAUUGGUUUGUUCUAAAAAUCCACAGACUUAGUAGCUAUAGCAAGCCAUUAAAUAAUGGACAUUUUGAAUCUUCCUCUUCAGUCAAUGAGUUAAUUGUCUCCAACUGUUAAAAUGGAGAGCUCUGGUAAUCCAUACACUUUAAAAACCUAUUUUCUCAAGUAUUGUUCAUAAGUAGCAAGCAGGGAGAAUAGCUAUUUAAGGUUAUUCAUAUAAAGACAAAGAUAUUUUUCAGCAACAAUAUUACAUCUGAAAGUAAAAAACUUCCUGCUGUGUUUGGUAUUCAAAAGCUCCUUCGUAGUUUAACUGCUGCCCUUCAAUGAGUCCUCCAAUAGCACAGAUCCAAUAGCUUUAGUAUUCCAAUUUUUUUUAUGUAUCUAGAUUUUUGCUUUUUAAAAUAAAUACUGUUAUUGUUAUUACUACUACUACUACUGUUAUGUUGACACAAAAACUUCAUAAUUGAUUUUUUAUUUCUACAUCAUCUGAAAGAAGUGAUGAAAUAACCUAAAGAUUUAACUAAAAUCUGUCAGUGUGUAUAGACACUUAUAAGCAUGGAGAUCCUGGUUACCUCUGAAAACAUUAAAUACAAGAAGAGUUUCAAAAUAAUUUAAGAACUGAUAGAUAUUCUGGUGCCAUGGAUGUAUCUCCUUGUUUUAUUGCUGGUUUUUAAAUGCUAAAGAAUUGACAGUAAGCAUAAAUCAGAAUUUUACACCAGGAAGUGCAGCAAUCACCUGCUGAGCAACAAGUGAUUUUAUCAGAAAGGUUCAUUUUCAAAAUAGUAUAUGGAAAAAAACUGAACAGGUCACAGAGUUCACUCAAAAUGGAAGCCCUUUAAGGUUGAGAGAGCUUUUACCCGCAGGA
ensembl:lncRNA